GGCUUUUCCUGGCAGAGAAAAGGACCCGGGAUCCCGCCUCCGCGGCCCGGCCGGGGGCUCCGCCCCCAGAGCGGAGAGGGCGGGGCGUGCGGCGCACGCGCGCGCGCGCGCGGAAGCAGGAAGGGCAGAGCUAAGGCAGGCGGGCUGGCGGGCGCGCGGGGGCGGGCGGUGCAGUGGCGGCCUUACCAUGUCGGCGCACCAGCGAGGCACGGAGCUCGACCUUAGCUGGAUCUCCAAAAUACAAGUGAAUCAGCCGGCAGUUCUGAGGCGUGCAGAACAAAUCCAGGCCCGCAGACCCGUGAAAAAGGAGUGGCAAGCUGCUUGGCUCCUGAAAGCUGUUACCUUUAUAGAUCUUACUACACUUUCAGGCGAUGACACACCUUCCAACAUUCAAAGACUCUGUUAUAAAGCCAAGUAUCCAAUCCGGGAAGAUCUCUUAAAAGCUUUAAAUAUGCACGAUAAAGGCAUUACUACAGCUGCCGUUUGUGUUUAUCCUGCCCAGGUAUGUGAUGCAGUAAAAGCACUAAAGGCUGCAGGCUGUGAUAUCCCAGUGGCAUCAGUGGCCACUGGCUUUCCAGCUGGGCAGACUCAUUUAAAAACACGAUUAGAAGAGAUCAGAUUGGCUGUGGAAGAUGGAGCUUCAGAAAUUGACGUGGUAAUUAACAGAACCUUGGUGCUCACAGGCCAGUGGGAAGCCCUGUAUGAUGAGAUUCGUCAGUUUCGCAAGGCCUGUGGGGAGGCUCGUCUCAAAACCAUCUUAGCAACAGGAGAACUUGGAUCUCUUACGAAUGUCUAUAAAGCCAGUAUGAUAGCCAUGAUGGCAGGAUCAGAUUUUAUUAAGACCUCUACUGGAAAAGAAACAGUAAAUGCCACCUUCCCAGUAGCUAUAGUCAUGCUACGGGCCAUUAGGGAUUUCUUCUGGAAAACUGGAAACAAGGUAGGCUUUAAGCCGGCGGGAGGCAUCCGCAGCGCGAAGGACUCCCUUGCAUGGCUCUCUCUCAUAAAGGAGGAGCUAGGGGAUGAGUGGCUGAAGCCAGAACUCUUUCGAAUAGGUGCCAGCACUCUGCUCGCGGACAUCGAGAGGCAGAUUUACCAUCACGUGACUGGAAGAUAUGCAGCUUAUCAUGAUCUUCCCAUGUCUUAAAUCAGCGACGAAUUCCAGAAAAGUCCUUUACUAUUUUUCUGCGUGAUUGCUAAAACUAUUUCAUUAAAAAAAUGAGGGAAUAGAUGAGGGACUGAGGCACAGAGAGCUUAAGCAACUUGCCAAAGGUCACAGAGCUCAGAAUUAGCAGAGUCAAGAAUCAAGCCGAGGCAGGCAGUCUGGCUCCUGAGUCUGUGCAGUCGCCCCAGAGGAACUGAAGUCUGAGUCUUUGAAUGCCAUGUGGGAACAAAGAUGGUUUGACUCAGCUGUGUGGUGUGAGAAUGAAGAUGAUUUGAUGUAGCUGUGACCUCAGCGGAGGCAGAAGGCGAGGAACUAAGGGGCACAGGGGAAAGGCUAUAUGAGGAAACAGCAAGAAGACAGCCAUCAACAAACUGAAAAGAGAGGCCUCACCAGAAGUCAGCCCUGAUGCCACCUUGAUCUUGGACCUCUAGCAUAUAGAACCUGGUUCAGUGUGUUGGGAAAUAGCCUUCGUCUCAGAGGUUUGCAGCUCCUUGGAAAGUGACAUCUAGCCUUCGUUGUGGAAUUGUAUUCCAUGAAAGUUUUGAAAUGGCAUGGUUGGCUGCAAAGAAGUAAGGCAGAACUGUACAAGCUGCAUGAAGACAGAAGUCUGCACUUACGGAGAUACCGUAGAAGCUGGUCAGGAAGGUUUCACUCAUAAUCUAAUAAUCAGAGAUGUCAACAACUCCUGUAGUUCACACUUAAUUGUGACAGUUUGGAUUUGAGCCCUUUGAAAACUGGAACCAUAUCUCACAUAAUUCCAUGUAGCACAGGGCCUAGCACAUGACCACUGGGAACUCAUUUCAGGAGAUUCGGCUUCAGUUUGUGUUUAAACUUCUGAAUCUGGAACAGCCUUAAUUGGAAAUCACAGUCAGGAUUCCAAAUUAACACCGAUAACUUCUAUAAUCUAAGAACCAUGUAUGGCUGCCAGUGCUGCUUACCAGUUAAAAAAGGACACUUGUUUCUGGGAUCCAUACUCCUGAAGGCUGUAAGCGCCCAGUGGACAGACAAUGGUCCUUAUUCCUCCUGUGCCGAGGCAGAUGGCCACCAGUGCUACGUGAAACAGCCUGGUCUGUUCCUUUUUUGUGGCGUGGAGCCUCCUUUGCCACACACAUAGGUGAGAAGGCUGGGGAUGGGUGUGAGACAUACAUCAGCAAGCCAUCCUGCAAACACCGGGGUAAGGAUUGACGUUCCAAUAAAACACAAGUUCAAAAUGGCGGCUUGGUAAUUGUGAUAGCCAAGCUUGACGGUGCAAAAGGGGAUCAUAUUGCAGACGACUUCAAAGAAAGUGAACCUCUCACACAGCUCCACCAGAAGCAAACAGAUUCCAACUUGAAAUUUUUUCACAGAGUAUGAUGAAGACAAAUAACCAAUAUGUCUUAUAGUUUUCUUCUUCUCAAUUCUGUGAUUUAAGGGUACUUUCUCAUCGGUGUUUUUAAAGCCUGCAACAGACAUGACUACCCUCCUUGAAGACUACUUAUGCUAGUGGUUUGAACUUGGUGAUUUUUCCCCCACUCCUCUAAUGAAAAAAUAAAUAAGAUCUUUGCUUUGAA